UCUUGUCGUCUCCGCUGGCGACGUAUAUGAAUUUCGCGCCACUCUUCUCUAAAAAGUUCGACGCGCGUCGGCCCGAAAUGUAGGUCGACCGGUACCGUUUCGCACUUGUACAGCGCCGAAACGAAAGACGCGUAGUUACUUUAUUUGCUGUAUGUCAAUAAUAAUGAUAAUAAUAAUAGGUUAUUAUUGUUAUGAAUGAUGCGCGUGGCCGCCGUAAAUAUAUUACUAAUUAUUAUUGUAAAACACUCGCUGGCCCUUCGCAGGUGUCUCAUAAUCCAUAAUGAGUCUGGGGCUAUACUGCGACAGACCGCAGGUCGAGAUCCCGAAGAUUUACUCGUGAUAACCGCGACCCAACACUCCCGAUGGCACAACAUCGGUACGGCCGUUCAAAUGCGACGAGGGCCGAACUCUACGUAUGACAAUGAUGAUGAUUUCCAUUAGGAAUCAUAGUACAUACACGUCAAAACAUAAAAAAAAACAUCUAACAUCGUCAGUCAUUUAGUGUGAUUUUCGAGCACACGUUCAAUAGCGUUCGACAGAUCUCCGCAGAAAAGUACACUAUCCCACGUUUUGCUCGAAGUUUAAAACAUAAGAAAAUGUACGAGUAUAUCAAAACCGUCAAUAUACCUAGCUGCAGUUGCUACAGACCGUUUCUAAAAGUCAAUAUACCGACUUGGCGUCAUUUCCGGUCACCAUAUAAACUGUAUAUAGCUCUAUAACAGCAACCUCAUAUCCAUCAUUGUAAAAUAAUAUUAAUCUAUCAAUAUAGAUCACUUUCAAGAGUCAAGAAUACAUAUAGGUACUAAGUCUAUUCCUCCAUCUAGUUUUGUGUACUCCGAAGAGAGACAGAAUUUUAUGCACUUUAAUCCAUUAUGGUUGACCCAAAUAAUAUCGUUGCCAUAUACUGCAGACAAGAGCACUUCUGGCGUUUUGCGAUUGACAGCAGAUGUGAUAGGUAGGUACAAUCAUAAUAAUAAUAAUGUAAUACCCGUAACCGUAUUUUUAAAAGAAUUUGAAAGUCACAAUCAAUAAUACCCAUAUUACAAUAUAUGUUUCAAACUUCAGAGCGUAUAUAUUAUAGUAAAUAUAAAGGUAUAUUGUUUACGUUAAGUUAUUUAAAUAAUCGAAUUCCAAAACCACCAUACUUCAAAAACAUUAGAAACCAGAAAAUAAGUGGUCGACUACGGGGACAUAGUGACAUACUGCAAGGAGAGACACCUGUAAAUUAUAAUAAUGUAUAAUAAUUUAUAUUUUAUAACACUAUACCCAUACAGAGUGUAAUUGAAGAAAUUCCUGAAAAAAUAAAUAACU